rnacentral:rRNA from 1 species
GAUGAACGCUAGCGGCAGGCUUAACACAUGCAAGUCGAGGGGCAGCGCGGGUAGCAAUACCUGGCGGCGACCGGCAAACGGGUGCGGAACACGUACACAAUCUACCUUUGUCUGGGGCAUAGCCCGGAGAAAUCCGGAUUAACUCCCAUAAUAUGAACUAGGUGGCAUCACCUAAACCAAUUAAAAAUUUAAUUUGGACAGAGAUGAGUGUGCGUCCCACUUAG